AGGUGAAAUUUAUUAAUUAAUAAUUAAAUUAGUGUUUACUGGGAGAUAUUGAUUCUUAAAAGUCUGAGGGAUAAAAUAGGAUUAGAUACCCUAUUAUACUCGGUUGAAAUAGUAAGGCCCGUGAGUAGUAAAUAGAUAUAAUCUCGAAACUCAAAGAAUUUGGCGGUGACUAAGUCUAGUUAGAGGAACUUGUGCAGUAAACGAUAGUCCCCGAGCAUCUGGCCUUUUUUUGUAAAUUCAGUUUGUAUACCGCCAUUAUUAGGUAAUUCUUGUAGGAAUUUAUUUUAAUUGAGUUUUAUUAAAUAUAUUAGGUCAAGGUGCAGCCCAUGAAAAGGAUGUUGUGAGUUACAUUAAAAUGUGUUUAGACGGAAAGAUUGUGGGAGAGAUGAUUUUAAAGGUGGAUUUAAUUGUAAUGGGUUCGGAUUAAGGAUUGGUGGUAGAAGCUCUUAGUCAUGUA
rnacentral:rRNA from 1 species